UAUUCGAAUUUCUAAGGUCAGUUGUACCCUGUCGCAUAGUCAAGAUAGUUUCCAUCUUCUUCUGUCUAUAUUACCACAGAUUCCAAGUUUUUGCAAAGAACCAUCUAGCAUUUCCCUCGGGUGUUUCUUUCUCUUGCGAAAGUCUUUGUGCUUUUGUUGACUCCACCAACAAAUGUGUAUUUUGAGACAAGCAAGCAUUUCCCCCUGUGAGCUGAAACUCACUCGUGGACAUUUCUUGUGUGUGUGUGCCCACACAUGCAUGGGGUGGGGGAAAGAGAGCAUGUGUACAUGUCUAUCUAUGCAUGUAUAUAUGUAUGUAUUUACGUAUUAAGGAAUACCAAUUGAUAAAAGGGAAAAACCUCUAAAUUCACUUGGUAGGAACUCCUUUCCUCUUCUUUUGUUUUUAUGUAUGAAUUUAGGAGCUCUUGUCAUUAUCUUUGCUAAAAUGAGAUCAACUGGGAAUGAACCUAUGUUCACAUAUAUAGGAUUUCACACCUUUGUGCCUGGCUGACACAUGUGGUGGCAUUUAGAUGGGCUAGGUUAUACAUGUGUAUGCUCAACACACCUCUAAACUCUAUAUGUGAGCCUCCUUUUUAGAUUUUUGUGUUUCUUAUUGAUGUUGCAUAACUUCUGCAGGCCUGCAAUGCUCAUGGGAUUUAUUGUGCUCCAUUAUAUGAUACCCUUGGUGUUGAAAGCAUUUCCUAAUGCAACCAAAUUCUUGAAAACAAUUGUGAGCUUC